rnacentral:rRNA from 1 species
AGCAGCCGCGGUAAUUCCAGCUCCAAUAGCGUAUAUUAAAGUUGUUGCAGUUAAAAAGCUCGUAGUUGAAUUUCGGGAUCAAUAUAUCGGUCGUGCCAUUGGUACGUACUGGUAUCAUUGGUUUCUCCUUUCUGACGAACCAUGAUGUCAUUAAUUCGGUGUUAUGGGAAGUUAGGACUGUUACUUUGAAAAAAUUAGAGUGUUUAAAGCAGGCUUUAGCUUGAAUACAUUAGCAUGGAAUAAUGAAAUAGGACGUUCGAACCUAUUUUGUUGGUUUCUAGGAUCAACGUAAUGAUUAAUAGGGAUAGUUGGGGGCAUUAGUAUUCAAUUGUCAGAGGUGAAAUUCUUGGAUUUAUUGAAGACUAACUACUGCGAAAGCAUUUGCCAAGGAUGUUUUCAUUAAUCAAGAACGAAAGUUAGGGGAUCGAAGACGAUCAGAUACCGUCGUAGUCUUAACCAUAAACUAUGCCGACUAGGGAUCGGAAGNUGUUAAUUUUUUAAUGACUCA